ensembl:lncRNA
GAUGUUCAACAUGAUUGAAGAAGAAAAGCGGUUUGUUUUUUUUUGUCUCUCUCUCUCUCUGUUUGGACAGCUCAGCUCUGUCACCGUGCUAAUCAUCUAAACGCAAUAUUCUGACAUGAUUUUGCAGCUAAAGUUAAAUCUGACAGUAGAGGAUCAAAUAUAAAAAUCCUUUAGUGUGUGUAUUUGAGGCGAUUAACUACGCUCCGAGAUUUGUGGGGAUAUGCAGACAGAAACUUGUACUGCUUCAUGUGAAAGGACACCAGACAUUUUGGGACAUAUCUCCCCUGUAGACUAUCAGAACCAUGUAAAAAAGGAACAACCUGAAGAUGAAGACUAUCCUUAUUGUGAAGAUUGCAGAUCCUUUUACAUCAACAAAUGUGAAGUUCACGGUCCAGCUCACUUCAUCAUUGAUACACCUGUUACUAUGGGGGUC